UCUUUAUGUGAUUAUAGGCUAUAAAGCCUUUGAAAUAAGCACUUUGGGGCGCUUUCCCUUAGUGCUUUUUAUAAUUUA
rnacentral:ncRNA from 21 species